GCUAGCUAGAAGGGUAUGUGGUGACUUUGCCAGGAACGCUACAAAGUCGUGAGUCGUGACUUGAAGUCGUAACUUACGGGCUAAAAAUUGUGUCCGGAACGCAGCAUAAGAGGUUGGAAAAUGAUUCAUGGUUUCUUUUUCUACAUUAUUGUCUACCCGGGCGCACUGUGCUCCACCUCAACUCUCUCAAACGGACAACUUCCCUUUCUGCAACCAAGCACCAGACCCCUCCUCAGACCGAACACACCAGAGACCCCCCUGCUGACUGUAUAUGACUUGAUGGGACAAUCCGUGACAUCCUCUCCGAGCUGUUUGGCAGCUUUGACAAGAGAUGUUUAAGAAGAGAAGGAGGCCUGCAUCAGCUGAACUCCUGUGCUACAGAGGGCUGCUGUGGUGGCGACCCUCUGGAACAGCGUGGAGCCAGAGGAGGAAAAGGAAAUCAAACAAUGAUAACAAGCUAUACCCAAAAGUGACACUGGAAAACAUUGGCGCUAAUAAGGUCAGAGGUCAGGCUUGGCAAAAGAACAGCAGAACACUGGGGGUUAUUUUCUUUCCUUCUUUCCAAUGCUUAAGUUUAUACAUCAUCAUGCCCAUGAUGAACCUGAUUGGUCUGUUGAAGGUCUGCACUGUUUAGUUAGUUAGUCUACCUACUUGUGUUUCAGCUCAUUAGGAUUUGCCUGCCUAAAAAUGUGGGCAAACUCAAUUCUGAAAAUGAAAGGUGAUCAAAAUGGGUUUAUACUGCACUAGAUUGACAACAUGUACUUGCAAAAUAGAGACAAUAUUGAUACCUUUACAAUUAAAGAGAGUAUUAUGUCAUAUACCAACUUGUUACUGUCAUUUGUUGACAAUAUGUAGGAGAUUUCUAUUCUGAUCACAGCUACAUAAAUACAAUCUCUAAAACCUGCAAUUGAAUUUGAACUUGUUCAUAUUAAAGUAAUUGUUAAUUAUCUUGUCUAAAUGCUAUUUCAGAGGCCUCUGGAGAAAGCAAAGAAUAUAUUGAACAGUACUGCUGAACUCCCAAUGUGACUUCAGUUUAUUUUCCCCGAUCAUCUUUAAAGUUUGAAAUCUUAUAAAUUAUGAAGGAAAGGGGGGAGGACCAAGCACUGCAGCAGAGGAAGAAAACAUGAGGUGCACGCCUUUCCCAAUGAAUAUACAGACAUGGAGGAAUUACAACACAUCAAAAUAGCUAAAUUAAGUGUGUGUGUGUGUGUGUGUGGGCAUGAUAUCUAACCAAAAGCAUUGGCGGCAUGUUGAAAACCAAAAGGCGGCCAUCCAGCAGUACUACAUUCAUUUGGACAGUGGUGAACCAGCAGAGUGACAAAAAUACCUCAGGCAAAGAUUCACCCUUGCACUUCAAGUCUGCUGAUUUUUUUCACUGCCCCCCCUCCCCCUUAUUAUGUGUGUCCCAGUUUUCCAGCCAGGGCAGAGCCCAUAUCAGCUAGCAGCUCCUCCCUGAUGCGGUCCUCCCUCCUCUGCAGCUCGUGGACAAAAUGCCCCCUCAGUGUCUUCAUCGCCACCACACGCCCCAGCAGCUGCCUGCGCAUCACACUCUGUGCCUCUGGGGGGCAGUCUGGCCUGUUGUCCACCAGCUCUGGCCUCUGGUCGCUUAGAGACAGAGCCCUUUGCAGAUCCCCAGAGUCCACAUCCAGCAGCUGAUCUACGGUACACUUCCGACCCAGGCGGUCUGCUUGGGUAAACACUGGGAUGAUGAACCCUGCGACCCCGUCGCCAAACAGCUCAAGGGUGGCUCGGAUUGCCUGAGCCGCAUCCUGGUCGGUCUCCGUGCUGGAGCCCGGAGCUCGUAUCGCCAGCAGGAAGGCGUGCGGCCCAGGACCGGAGAGCUGAAGGCUCCUCAGAGCUUCCCUGGCUCUCAUGUUGUUCCCCAAUGACGGCCCCAAAAGGUCUGGGGUGUCGAUCGCUGUAACCUCUCUACCAUCCAUUACUGUCCUCCUCUUGGUGCUCUGCAUUAGGGGACCCAUGGGUGCCUUUGUCUCACUGUUGCCCAACAAAGUAUCUGCGAGGGAGGUCCGUCCUCCACCCAUGGGCCCCAGGAGGAUAAGCCUUAGGCCUGGUUUGUCGAUCCUGCUGGAUGGAUCCAUCUCUGAUGAGGUGACAAGUUUUUAUUAGAUAAAUAAUAAAAGACUUUGCAGAACAGCUGUGAUUCUCAGCCCAGCUGGGCCUGAGUGAGUGGGUUUUAGGUUUGAAAUAUUUCACAUUCAACAGAACAAACAAGAAAAAGAAGAAAACGUGUAUCAAAAGGCAAAUGAAUGUGAACUGACCCGUGUUGACACUAAUCAGCGACUUGAACUUGGAGGAAGAUGCUGAUGGAGGAGGAGAUUGUAAGUCAGUUGCUUAAUUAUAGGCCUAUAAUUAUCAUGUACGCCCCACUCCACGUAUAUACUAAAUUUCUGUCAUGUGUCUGCUGAAUUUCUGAGUCACUUCCUCUGGCUACCCAAACAUACCCAUCCAAAUUGUAAACUUCUCCUGACCUGUUUAGCUUCCCUUAAAAAGUCCAUUUGAAGCACACAAUGAAGAGGAAACAACAUCCAACACAAAUGCAGCCAGCACUCACCUUCGAUAAACCGCCAAAUUCCAGACAGCCAGUUACACAGGCUCUGGAUUCCUGACACACAAGACACAAAUAGAACAUUUUAGAAUAUGACGACUUCUUUUUUCUUUUUUUAUUCAUAGGGGACAUAUUUUUGUUUUAUUCCUAUUGGUCAGAAAUUCAGGAUGUAUGUUUCGUACCACGAAGGGUUCCCACUAGGUGGCUCACCCAACUCCAAAGAGCUGUCAGACCUGAGGCAGAACACACAUUUAAGUUGUGGUGAUUUUUAUUUCACAUCAUACACACAUACGUGAGCUGUCAGUUAAGAUCAGACUGUGACGUCGAGGACAAAGUGACCUCUCAUAUGUCACUCUGACAGAACUCACCGGUUAGAGUGCAGAACAGACGAAUCGGCCAUCGGAUCAGAGCUGGCAGUGCUGCAGGGAGAACAAGACUACUGUGAGUAUUACACCAGGGGUCAUCAUUGAUUGAUUGUUGGUUUUGGUCUUUUUCAUAGGAUUUGCUGACAAUAUAGAGUAGCCUAUCUCCUGCUUUAUCCUUUAGAUAUGUGUGUCUCUGAUCAAUAAAUGAAUGUGCACAGGUCUGGUGUGAUU